GCAGGUUCAGGAUAUGAAACUGUACUGAUUCACAGCCCGUGUUCAUGAGAAUUCUUUCCUAAACCUCAACCCUGGAUGACACCAUCUCGAUUCUCUCCCUCACUGAUGUUAAUAUUUAGGGGAAAGGAGAAAAUGUUUGCUACAAUCUGACCGCUGCUCACCUCUGAAAAAGAAGUGACAAAAGGCCAGAUGUCAGCUCCAGGCCCCAAUGUGUGUUAAAGCGAUCCACAGGACCAGGCUGCCUCUCCAGCACGCCAGGCGCACUAGGUGUUUAAUUUGGAAUCUGAUAGCUGCCUAAAUUUUGAGGUAUCCCGUAGGUGACGCACACAAAGAAUCCUCAAUGGCCACUGGCAGAAAAUCUUAGAAAAACAAUCCUCCUGGUUGUCGGAAUCACAACUACCACUUUCACUCCCCGCCUCCCUGUCACGGAAGAGGCUGUUGUGACUUGAAUUACAGGGGCCCAUGUGGACUACCUGCCGUCCAAAUGCGCAUGUGACAAUGGACACUCCUUUGCUGGCCGGCGGUGUUAUUUCAGACACUGUUGGACAGAUGGGCUCCGUUCCGAGCGGGGAAGAGCCACACCUCAGAGACGACAUGUUUUAUAGGGCUGUCUCCUCGCCGCACACAAAGUAUCCUCAUCAUUUUGCCAGGGUCGGGGCAGAUCCGAACAUCAGAAGGACGGUUUCUCCCCAGCAUCCUGUCUCCAGCCUCAGGGCCUGCAUGCAAUUUCAGGGAUCCCGGUUGUCGGCUGGCCCCCCGCCCGCUCCUGUGGCUGCCAUGUGUGGGGCAUGUGCCUGGGCCUCGGCAGCUGUUGGAACACAGUAAAUCCAUUCAUACUGACAUAUCCCAAUGACUAACACGGGCUUAGUGAGGAAACAGAAGCGUUUGACAAGCAGAAACAACUGAAUUACUUUUAGAGGGGUGAGGAAAUGACACCCCCAAAGGGCUUGAUCUCGCCAUUUGGUUUGGAUGGGGGACUCACCAUGGGAGGCCACCCGGAUGUCACCCCAGCCACCUACCAUCAUUAAUUCUGAGCAGAAGAGGAGCCCGGCCAGUGUUUCGGCAACAGGAAUGAGAGGUCUAAAGAGAUGGUUAUUGGAGACCACGCUGGACAUGAAGAAGAUAAAUCACUCAAACAGAUAAAUCACCAAAGACUUAAAGUGAGAGGCAGUGUCACUUUGUAGUUUGGAAUGUGGGCUUUGGAAUCAGACAGAACUGGAGUUCAAAUGCUGGUUCUGCCACUUAUCCCCUGAUGAGCCGUGAAACCCCUAAGCCUCUGUUUUCUCGCUUGUAAAAUGGGGAUAUGGUAAUGGCAUUCCUAGCUAAUGGAGCUCUUUCAGGAAUGAGUGAGACCAUCGGAUAAAGCACUCAGUACGACAGGUAACAGAAUUCACCUUGCGCUAACUGAUGUAGCUCCUGAAGCAGCGUGGAAUCAAAAGGAAGCUCGACCCUUACUGCUUCAAAACACACUUCCUCAUCAGGACCCCACCACCGCCACCUUCUUCAGAACCUGGAUCAUGAGCCACUAAUCAACGCCAACUGUUUGAAGAUGCAGGACAGAAGAAAUUCUGAAGGCUGCCGCUUCCUUAUACCUCCCUGAGAGCCGUCUUUGAGGA